UACGAAGGGGGCUAGCGUUGCUCGGAAUGACUGGGCGUAAAGGGCGCGUAGGCGGUUCGUACAGUCAGACGUGAAAUUCCCGGGCUCAACCUGGGGGCUGCGUUUGAUACGUGCGGGCUUGAGUCCGGGAGAGGUGAGUGGAAUUCCUAGUGUAGAGGUGAAAUUCGUAGAUAUUAGGAAGAACACCAGUGGCGAAGGCGGCUCACUGGCCCGGUACUGACGCUGAGGCGCGAAAGCGUGGGGAGCAAACAGG
rnacentral:rRNA from 1 species